rnacentral:rRNA from 1 species
UACGGGGGGGGGCAAGCGUUGUUCGGAAUUACUGGGCGUAAAGGGCUCGUAGGUGGCCAACUAAGUCGGACGUGAAAUCCCUCGGCUUAACCGGGGAACUGCGUCCGAUACUGGUUGGCUUGAGUUUGGGAGAGGGAUGCGGAAUUCCAGGUGUAGCGGUGAAAUGCGUAGAUAUCAUGAGGAACACCAGAGGCGAAGGCGGCUACCUGGACAGUUACUGACGCUCAGGCACGAAAGCGUGGGGAGCGAACAGG